AUGAACUUGUGGGGAAAAUACAGCAGGUAGGGAAAAGCUCAAAUAUAUUUUAAGAACGUUAAAUAAAUCAAUAUUUUAAGUUAUUAAUCUUUAUGCUGUAUGAGACUAUGAUGCUCAUUUCUUUCAAAUCCUUCAUUUUUACAGAUGAAGAAAUUGAAGUAAAAACAAAAGUGGUUCACAGGCUAUCACAUGGUUAUUGGCUGGCAGGUAACAAAGUACAUGCUGAGAUAUUUUUAUUCUUAAAAACAUCCUUAAAUAUAUUCUUCUAGAUGAUUUCACUUCUGGAAUAGAGUACUUACUGUCUCUUAAAUGAAGUCUUUCUCCUUGGGUAGCACUGGGGAAAGUCAGGUAAAUUCUUGCUUUCACGUCUGUGUUUCUGGACUCUGUACUGACCGGCUCCUCCCUUUCUGCCUUCAAAACAACUGAUCCGUCUGUAGCUUUUUCCAGUUAUGUUCUAGGCUGGAGGAUACACUGAAGGGGGCCUCUUAAUGGCAGGCGUGUAGCAUUGGUGUCUCAGUGUGGGGCACUUUUGCAGAGAUGGCUGUUCUCCUCCAAAGCUGACUCUCCUGUCCUCUAGGAUCAGAGGAGGCCAGGAUUGGGACAGUGUGAGAUUGAAGAUAUUGAAGAUACAGAUAUCCAGGUCCAGGUCAUUCUAUGGGCUGGGCUGUCCUGUAAAUUUGGGGCACCAGAGCCCACAGCACUCACUGGAGAGGACAGCUCUUGUGCACUACAAGGACAAUUGUGGCCCACUUUCAUUCUUGCCUGGUGCUGAGCUGGGAUGUCCCUAUACUUCCUGUUCACCAUUGGCUUGUGAGACUCGCAGAGUGUACUUUGUCCCUAGCUCAAUAAUCCUGUGGUAUCCCGUGAGCCACUUUUUCUGGGCUUCGGUUUCUUCUUCUGUAAAAAGAGAAGGAGAUUUGAAAGAAAUGAGCUUCAGAGAAUCAUGUAAUGUUUGUUUAAUAUAUUUAAUAUAAUAUACAAUUUGAUAUAACAGUAUUUGUAUUUAUAACCCGGUUUAAAAUACAAUGCUCCAUGACAUCCCCAUAAUUCUACAUUUACAUAUAAGGAGAUUGAGUCUUUUUUUAAGGCGAUUCCAUCUUAAAGAAGAUAAAGAUUGUCUUAAAACAUCCACUCAGCAAAUGAUUGAAUGAGGCCUCAGACACAGAUCAAACUUUUCUUUAAUUGCUAAGUGGUAAUGUCUCCCCGGUCUGAGUCAGAGGACUUUUACCUCCAUCUUUGAAAGGGAGAGCACAGCCCCUGGCUUCCCCUUCCUUGCCUCUCCUCUCAGAGCUGUUUCGCCCUCUUUUGUUCUUUCUGAGUUUUCCAUGUUUUCUUGCCUUCUCCCUCUCUCCUUCUCUCCAUCCCCUAUUCAUCCUCCUCUGAGCCUCGUGCCUCCUCAGUUCCCCUUACCCAAGGGCCAGCCUCUCUCAGCCUCUCUCGUGGCUGGGAUCUGCUUUUAUGAAGAUGUGGUCUAGAUCCUAAAUGGGCCCCCAAAGCUCAUGUGUUGAGUGCCUGGUCCCCAGAGGAUAGUGCUGUUGGGAGAGUGUGGCCUAGUUGGGGGAAGUAGGUCAUUGUGGACAUGCCCUUGUUUGUGUACCCUGGGGACCCUGGCCCUUUCCUCUUUCUCCCUUUGCCUCCUGGCAACCAUAAGGUGAGCAGCUCCUCUGCUGCAUGCUUCCACGGCCAUGAUAUUACUGCCUCACCACAGACCCAGAAGUGACUGGGCCAACCGUGGACUGAAACCUCUGAACCCAUGAGCCAAAUUAAAUCUCUCCUCCCCUUGAUUGUCUCAGGUAUUUUAUUUCAGCAAUGAAAAGCUGACUAACACAUUGCCCCACUCUGCUGGGGUGAAUCUGUGGAUUGAUGAUGACAGGAAGAAGGGGUACCUUGAUAACUGGGUGGUAGUUUAUAGUCUAGAGCAUUCUUUCCCAAGCACAGGGUGAAGAAUGACCUGUUUUGGAUCAAGGCACCACUGUGGAAGAAAGGUUUGAUUCCAGUGCAGAUGCAUGGGCCCCAACCCAGAGACUAUUUUCACUAGGAUUGGGUGAGACUUGUAACCUAUUUUCAAAGAAUCUUCAACAAGGUAAUACUGUGCCCACCAGGGCCUGUCCCUGUGGUGAUCCAGAGAGUGGUAAGUGUCCACAAGGGUACCUGCAAGGUUGUCUCAGGUGGCAGCAUACAUGUAGGUCACCAAACAUCACUUAGUCAGUUUGGCACUUGCUCAUCUUACAUGUCAAUGAUACAUCUGGCUCCAUCAGUAGAACUCCUUGCUUCUAAUUAGCAGAGUGAUAUUAAGUUUUCAUAGGGAGAAGUUAAUAAGGAAAAACAUGUUGAAGAGCUCCUUAGAGUAGACGAAAGUAAAAAGUGUUGGCUUUCUGAAUAGGACUCCCAUAGCUUAGGAAAUAAAUAGCAAGAAUCAACAAAUAGGAUGGCAUCAAAUUACAAUGCUUCUGCACAGCAAAGGAAAUCAUUAACAUUGUGAAGAAACAGCCCUCAGAAUGGGAGAAAAUCUUUGCCAGCUACUCUUCCAACAGAGGAAUAAUAUUUGAAUGUAAAAAGAACUCAGAUUCAACAUCAGAAAAACAAAUAAUCUAUUUAAUAAAUAGGCAAAUUAACUAAGCAGAUACUUCUUUUAAAAAGUACAAAUGGAAUUCAAUUUAUGGAAAAGUGCUCAUCUUUUGGCAUCAGGGAAAUGGAAAUCACAACUACAAUGAGAUUCCAUCUAACUCUAGUCAGAACAGCAAUCAUUAAGACCCCAAAUAACAAAUGCUAGCAAGGAUAUGGGGGGGAUGACUCAUGCACUGUUGAUGUGAAUGCAAAUUAGUACAGCCCCACAGAAAUCAAUAAGGAAUUUCUUCAAAAAACCAAAAAUCAAACUACCACAUGACCCAGCUCCACCACUCCUCAAUAUUUAUCCAAAAGAAUUAAAGUCAGCAUAUAGUAAUAAAUAUGAAUGUCUAUGUUUAUUAUGGCAAAAUUCACCAUUUCCAAGUUAUAGAAUUAUCCCAUGUGUCCAUCUACAAGUGACUGGAUAAAGAAAAUGUGGCACAAAUAUGCAAUGGAGUUGAAUUCCUUCAUAAAGAAGAACAAAAUUGUACCAUUUGCAGGAAAAUGGAUGGAUCUGGAGAUUAUCAUGUUAUGCAAAAUAAGUGACACUCGGACAAGUAACAGAAGGACAUCAUAAAAGCAAAAGGGUGACUAUUAGGUAGAGGAAGGGGUCUAGGAAAAGGAGGAGGGGAAGGCAAGGGGAGGUAUUGAGGAGUGCAAUUAGGAGUGCAAUUAAUCAAGUUAUGUUAUAUAAGUGUAUGAAUAAGCCACAGUGGAAUCCACUAUUCUGUACAAUUAUUAUGCAACAAUUAAAAAAAAAACGAAAAAAGUGUUGAGAAACAUUGGUUUAUGCAAGAAUGUCUGUAUUUCUGCUGAGAAGUUAAAAUUAUGCCAGGUCAACCACACCCUUUCAUUCUGCCUCUCUGUGCCCAUGGACAAUGGGGCCAAAGAUAAGAUCUGAAUUUACAUGUUAGAGUUUCUCCAGCCAUUAACUGUGAAUGGUCAUAUUUGCCCUGACUUGUACAGUUAGGAUGAGAUCUCUCUUUUAAUCCCAUGGCUCUAGUCAUUUGUUCCACUCGUUUGUCACUUAGCACUUAGCAUUAGUGACCUGACAUCUUUUGUAUGUGUCUGUUUUGUCUUCAUAACUAGAUUAGAAAGUCUUUUAUGGUAGAGACCUUGUGUUCACCUGAUAGUGCACUAAUUUACUCACGCGUCUAUCAGACAGGCAUUGAGCACUGCCAGGCACAGGGAUAGAUUAAAUUAAAAAAAAAUAGUAAGAUAUAGUCUCUGACUUUAAACAUUUCUAGCAAACAAACCAUGGCUUGGAAAAUAUAAUGACUGAGAUGUGUUUAUUUUGUACAGAAAAGUACCCUGCCCAGCGGAGAGGAGGCCAUCUUUAACUGAGGCUCAAAGGAAAAAUGAGGAAGAGUAAGUUUUCCAGGUAGAGAAUGGAUGGGGAACAGGAAGACCAUUCCAGGCUGAACUAGAG
rnacentral:lncRNA from 1 species